rnacentral:misc_RNA from 1 species
GUUUUAAGGUGGGGAAGAUGUAUCUAUAACCUCCAGAAAUUUGUCAAGAUUCAACUAACUGUAAGUGUUGCUGCUUUUGUGAUCAAGUUCAUAGCAGCAGGUUCUGCUGGUGAGCUUCCUCUAACAGCACAUCAAUUGCUCUGGGUAGACCUCAUUGUGGACCCGCUCGUAGCUCUGGCACUGGCUGCAGAACGACCCACUGCUGAGCCAAUGCAGAGGCUGCCUGUAAGUCAGACAUAGCCCCUCAUAACAAAUAUUAUGU